rnacentral:rRNA from 1 species
AUGCCGCCGAAGCGCCCCAUCGGAGGGAGUGGCAACGCCGGGGCUGCUGAAGCACUGGAGCACGGCGUGAAUAUGGAGACAGAGGUUCCCGUCCCCGCCGACGAGGUGGAGAACGAGGCUGCCAACAAACGGAGGCGGGUCGAGAAAGAACCGCAAGCGACUCCAGCAGGCCUAGACUUCAUCAACAACCUCCCCGAUGAUAUGUUGAUAGUCAUCAUAUCCCUCCUCUCAAUCAGAAAUUGGGCGAGGACAAUCGCCAUUUCCUGGCGGUGGCUUACCCUAUGGCUCUGCACCCCUGUCGACCUCCUUCACGCCCACAAGUUGUGCCAUGGCUAUCGCAAAAGCUUGGAUGUGUUCUCCCAGAUCCUCGGCAGUCACCAUGGCCCAAUCAAAGGCCUUAUCGCGGGCAAGUUCCGUUCCAAUGGCAAGGAGCGAGCCAAGCUUGACGAGUGGUUCUGA